rnacentral:rRNA from 1 species
GAUGAACGCUGGCGGCGUGCCUAAUACAUGCAAGUCGAGCGAACAGACCCGGCUUUUGCUCCUCUCACGUUUGCCGCGGACGGGUGUGUAACACGUGUAUAACCUACCUAUCAGACUGGUAUCACCUCGGGACACCGGCGCUAAUCCCGUAUAAUAUAUUGCACCGCAUUGUUCAAUAGUGAAAGACGGCUUUUCUGUCACUUAUAGAUGGAUCCGCGCCGCAUUAGCUAGUUGGUAAGGUAACGGCUUACCACGGCAACGAUGCGUAGCCGACCUGAGAGGGUGAUCGGCCACACUGGAACUGAGACACGGUCCAGACUCCUACGGGAGGCAGCAGUAGGGAAUCUUCCGCAAUGGGCGAAAGCUUGACGGAGCAACGCCGCGUGAGUGAUGAAGGUCUUCGGAUCGUAAAACUCUGUUAUUAGGGAAGAACAAAUGUGUAAGUAACUAUGCACGUCUUGACGGUACCUAAUCAGAAAGCCACGGCUAACUACGUG